AUAUGAAGUUCUAAAAGCAAGUCUUAAUCAGGAAGUGUCCUUGAUCACCAACUGCUUGCCCAGGCACGCUGGCUCUCUUACACUUCCACCUCCCACCAUGGGAUGACACAGUAAGAAGGCCGUCAGUAGAUGCCAGUCCCUCAGCCUUGAACCUUCCAGACUCAGAACUUUAUACCUCCAUUUUCCUCUGCUGCGUGGCCCCAGGAGAGAUUUUAAUUAGCUUUCUAACCUUGGUCCAGAUUGCACAUGCAAAGGGUAGAGGAUGCAACACCCCCGCUUGUGGAGCUGCCACUUGUCUCUGGCAUGGAUGCCCCUUCUAGAUGUUCAUGGCUUACUCCCUGCCAUGUUGUCAGGUAUUUGAGCUCUCUGUUCCCACUCAGAGUAGAUGAGCAGAAGAGGAAAUGAGGGCCUUCCCAGAGCAACUCCCCCAGAUGAACAGAGCCAGGCUGCCUGGAUUCACUAUUAUCUUCAUCUCUUAGCUGUGUCAUCACGAGUUGUUUAAUUCGUCAGCACUUAAUUUUCUUGACCUGCAAAAAUAUGGAUCAUAAUGAUCAUUAACUAAUAAGUUUACCAUGAGGAUUAACUGUAUAUUAAGGGCUGAUAAAAUUAUAUGUUACAAAAAAAUUCACGAGAAGAGAGGAAAUACUGAGGAGAAAAUGGCAGAUUGUGUUUGCUGACUUUUAUUGACAAAGAAGUCACCAUGAAAAUCACAGUGAACCAUUUGGAAAGCAAACUGCCAAAAAAUAAUAGUUAGUCAUGCUCUCAGGCUGGUUAUUUUGGCUGUUGUGGGUUUCUUGCAUUUCCAGAUGAUUGCAAAGAGCUGUUUCUCAAUUUCUGCAACAAAUGCCAGCUGAAAUUUUGCUACCAGUUUCAUUAAACAUGUAGAACAAUUUGAGCCUGAGUGAGUUCUGUGGAGCCCAUACUACCUGUGAUUCAAGCCAGGAAUCUUGGAAUCUCCCUGAACAAUUUCUAUGGUGUCGUCACAUUUGCUAUUACUCCCCACACUCAGACUGUGUGUUUUUGGCUGCUCACCAAGCCCUUGAGGAAAACACUUGGAGUCAAUAUCAUCCUUUUGAUGCAGUGCUGAGUAAUGAAGUAUUUCCCUGUCUAAAGAUUUUAGAAGAUGGACAAAAGAAAAAUACAUUGCACUCUGAGACAUUCUGCAUAAAAAUGGAAUGUGUGGUUAGUGUGGCAUUAGAUUAACUCAGGCUUUGGACUUCGGGGCAUAAAAUCCAUUUCCUCUCACACCAGUCUCUGAAGCUUAAAGGAUUCAUUAUUUCCAGUUGCAAAUGCCAUCAGAAAAGGAUUGCUUUUCUUUCUAAUAACACCAAGAAUGUAGUUUACCAUUGUGAAUAAACUGUCUUAAGCUUUCCCUGAAUAAAAUAAAUACAAAUGCUCCUC
rnacentral:lncRNA from 1 species